CUGCUGUGAAGCACAGAGGGGUUUAUGGACAUGUUUUUCUGACCCCCAGGGCAGCGCCGGAGGACUCUGCUCCAGUCCAAGGGCUUGGGGAUGUGGCUGGAAUGUCACCCGACUCCUGUGCUUUGCUGCCAUUCACUGGGUGCUAGUGACUCAGGUGGAAGUGGGAGCCUGGACCUACCAUUAUGGUAACAAAGCUGAUUACUCCUGGGAGCUGGCCAGAAACUUUUGCAGAUCAUUCUACACCGACCUCGUAGCAAUCCAGAACCAGGGGGAAAUUGCUUAUCUCAACAGUGUCUUACCCCACCAUAAAACAUACUACUGGAUUGGGUUACGAAAAAUAAACAAUGUCUGGACGUGGGUUGGCACCAACAAGGCCCUGACGAAGGAGGCUGAGAACUGGGCUAACAAGGAACCCAACAAUAAAGGGA